rnacentral:RNase_P_RNA from 1 species
GGGAGAAGGCGGACAGCCAACGGUUUCCUCGACUUCGAGGUUCAAACUGAGGAAAGUCCCCCCUCCUUGAGAAAGGUGGAUCCACGCAAGUGGAUAGGGUGAGAGUCCUGGCAUCCUGAAGCCAAUUCAGGCUUGGCGUGAAAAUCGUCAAGAUGGAGCAGAAACGACACAGCCUCCGGGGUUAUGAUGAUUGGUUUGUCCAUGAAGUUCCCGGGGGAUCUGGUGAAACGGCCAACCCCACCGGAGCAAGUCCAAACGAACCGGGAUGAAAUCUCAAGACCGGUAGGUAGGACGCAUAGUCGAAUGCUGUCAGCGGUUUUCCGCAAACAGAAGGGGGCUUAUGUCCUUCACCC